rnacentral:rRNA from 1 species
UACGUAGGGCGCAAGCGUUAUCCGGAAUUAUUGGGCGUAAAGGGCUCGUAGGCGGUCUGUUGAGUCGGGAGUGAAAACUCAGGGCUUAACCCUGAGCCUGCUUCCGAUACGGGCAGACUAGAGGUAUGCAGGGGAGAACGGAAUUCCUGGUGUAGCGGUGAAAUGCGCAGAUAUCAGGAGGAACACCGGUGGCGAAGGCGGCUCUCUGGGCAUUACCUGACGCUGAGGAGCGAAAGUGUGGGGAGCGAACAGG